rnacentral:lncRNA from 1 species
UUAGAUAUAAUCGCGAUAUUAUCGAUAUUAUCGCGAUAUAUUAACGAUAAUUAAGAGGAUAAGUCACGAAAUAUCGUCAUCUAAAAAAAAACGAUAAUAUCGGCGAAAUAUCGCCGAUAUUUUCGAUAUUUUGGUCCUUGGCUACAAUUGAAAAGGUUUUUAUCAAUAAAAUUUCCAUUUAUCCCAGAUCUAGACAUAGGUGUAUUAAUCCAUUCUAUAAUUUAUUUGAAUUUCAUUUUGUGAGAAAAUGAUCCCACAAACAAAGGAAUUGUACAAUACGAAAUAACAUAAAAACGGAUUCAUUAAAAUAAAAAGGAAGACCUUUUACUCAUACUCAAAUUGUUCCAUUUUAAAAAAAGAAUCAAUAAAAAAAUCUAGGGGACGGUUCAAUAAUUUGAAAUCAAUCAAUGGGUUAAGAAGUUGGAGUAAGGAGUUGUUGAAAAAUCUAAAACUGGAAAGGCAUUUUAGAAUUUUUAUGAAAAUUGAAUAAUGAUAUAAAGAUAUCCAACAUGAAAAGUUUUCUAUUUUUAGAGUUUAUGCGGAAGGAUUUUGUCUUUGAUGAAAAGUUUUCUAUUUUUAGAGUUUAAUUUUUUAAUAAUUUUAAUUCAAUGUAGAUACCUAUCCAAAAUAAUAUGAAUGACUCACUAUUAACUCGGUUUUUUUUUACCAUAAUCAUUAUGUAGGAGAGG